GAUGUCUGGCAAUUAAAAAGAUUUUGUAUGCUACUGAUACAAAGGAAACUGCAUUAUAUUAAGUUCAGGAUUUCCUUAACCAAACUAUGGAGCAGAAAGUGAGAGCCGUUACUCCCAGGAGUAGCUUCUGUGAAGCCUGAUUGUUUACUUCCAAAACUGAAGUAGAAAGUGAAGGCCGAUUAUUCCCAAAAGCCUUCUGUGAUGACGAGACUGAUAAUCCUUCCCUAUGACAUGGUUGUAGCUGUGUGGUGCUCUUGUUUGCUUCAUGUAAGCCUGGAUGGAUAAUCAAAGGAUAUUCUCGCUGAUCUUUCCAAUAAAUGGAGCUAAUCUCACCCUCCACUUUCACCUUUUCAAGAAGAAUCUUUCUGUGAACGUUGCUUUAAAAUGGAUGUUGUGCAGGCCUGCUGUAUAAAUUAGCUGCAGGCACCUGAAUACUCUUGUGAGGUGUGAAAUAUUAUUUCUGAUUCAAAAUGAGUCAGCUGCUUUGUCCAAUUUUGCUUUGAUGUGAAAUCAUCCUGAAUUGAAUUCUUCUAUAAAUCUGCAAAGUCUGUAUCCCCCAUACCCUGUACCUGUACAUUUUUUUCCGUGUUACAUGAGUGUAUCUAGAGUAAUGAUGACAGUAUCUGUACAAAACUAAGUAAUAGUUGGAAGUUCAUAAUAGUUUUUUGAUGUGAUAUAGUUCAUAUAGGAUUUGUACACGAUCAUGAUUAGAUCAUUGAAUAUUCACUAAUGCCAACAAAAGUGUAUAGCAGAAUUAUCCUAUCAGAUAUGAUCAAAGGAAUAGCUUCAGUUGCAGAUGUUCAAAGAAGUUUAUUUACAUUACACUGGACGAUGACAGUAUCUGUACCUGUACAUUUUUUUCCGUGUUACAUGAGUGUAUCUAUGAUAGGAUGAUGACAGUAUC
rnacentral:lncRNA from 1 species